UACAGAGGGGGCAAGCGUUGUUCGGAAUUACUGGGCGUAAAGGGCGCGUAGGCGGCCUGCUAAGUCGAACGUGAAAUCCCUGGGCUCAACCCAGGAACUGCGUCCGAUACUGGUUGGCUUGAGUUUGGGAGAGGGAUGCGGAAUUCCAGGUGUAGCGGUGAAAUGCGUAGAUAUCUGGAGGAACACCGGUGGCGAAGGCGGCAUCCUGGACCAAUACUGACGCUGAGGAGCGAAAGCCAGGGGAGCAAACGGG
rnacentral:rRNA from 1 species